AGCGAACGCUGGCGGCAGGCCUAACACAUGCAAGUCGAACGAACCUUUCGGGGUUAGUGGCGGACGGGUGAGUAACACGUGGGAACGUGCCUUUAAGUUCGGAAUAACUCAGGGAAACUUGUGCUAAUACCGAAUGUGCCCUUCGGGGGAAAGAUUUAUCGCCUUUAGAGCGGCCCGCGUCUGAUUAGCUAGUUGGGUGAGGUAAUGGCUCACCAAGGCGACGAGCAGUAGCUGGUCUGAGAGGAUGAUCAGCCACAUUGGGACUGAGACACGGCCCAAACUCCUACGGGAGGCAGCAGUGGGGAAUCUUGCGCAAUGGGCGAAAGCCUGACGCAGCCAUGCCGCGUGAAUGAUGAAGGUCUUAGGAUUGUAAAAUUCUUUCACCGGGGACGAUAAUGACGGUACCCGGAGAAGAAGCCCCGGCUAACUUCGUG
rnacentral:rRNA from 1 species